rnacentral:SRP_RNA from 1 species
GCCGGGCAUGGUGGCAUGUGCCUGUAGUGCCAGCUACUCAGGAGGCUAAGGCAGGAGGAUCACUUGAGUCCAAGAAUUCUGGGUUGUAAUGCACUAUGUCUAUCAGGUGUUUGCACUAAGUUCAGCAUCAACAUAGUGACCUCCCGGGAGUGGGAGGUUGCCUAUGAACCAGCCCAGGUUGGAAAUGGAGAAGGUCAAAACUCCCAUGCUGAUCGGUAUUGGGACUGUACCUGUGAAUAGCCACUGCACUCCAGACUGGGCAACACAGCGAGACCCUGUCCCU